rnacentral:rRNA from 1 species
CUACGGGAGGCAGCAGUGGGGAAUUUUGGACAAUGGGGGCAACCCUGAUCCAGCAAUGCCGCGUGUGUGAAGAAGGCCUUCGGGUUGUAAAGCACUUUUGUCCGGAAAGAAAUCGCGCUGGUUAAUACCUGGCGUGGAUGACGGUACCGGAAGAAUAAGCACCGGCUAACUACGUGCCAGCAGCCGCGGUAAUACGUAGGGUGCGAGCGUUAAUCGGAAUUACUGGGCGUAAAGCGUGCGCAGGCGGUUUUGUAAGACAGGCGUGAAAUCCCCGGGCUUAACCUGGGAAUUACGCUUGUGACUGCAAGGCUAGAGUGCGUCAGAGGGGGGUAGAAUUCCACGUGUAGCAGUGAAAUGCGUAGAGAUGUGGAGGAAUACCGAUGGCGAAGGCAGCCCCCUGGGACGUGACUGACGCUCAUGCACGAAAGCGUGGGGAGCAAACAGGAUUAGAUACCCUGGUAGUCCACGCCCUAAACGAUGUCAACUAGUUGUUGGGGAUUCAUUUUCUCAGUAACGUAGCUAACGCGUGAAGUUGACCGCCUGGGGAGUACGAUCGCAAGAUUAAAACUCAAAGGAAUUGACG